CCUACGGGGGGCAGCAGUGAGGAAUAUUGGUCAAUGGACGAGAGUCUGAACCAGCCAAGUAGCGUGAAGGAUGACUGCCCUAUGGGUUGUAAACUUCUUUUAUAUGGGAAUAAAAUGUUCCACGUGUGGGAUUUUGUAUGUACCAUAUGAAUAAGGAUCGGCUAACUCCGUGCCAGCAGCCGCGGUAAUACGGAGGAUCCGAGCGUUAUCCGGAUUUAUUGGGUUUAAAGGGAGCGUAGGUGGAUUGUUAAGUCAGUUGUGAAAGUUUGCGGCUCAACCGUAAAAUUGCAGUUGAAACUGGCAGUCUUGAGUAUAGUAGAGGUGGGCGGAAUUCGUGGUGUAGCGGUGAAAUGCUUAGAUAUCACGAAGAACUCCGAUUGCGAAGGCAGUUCACUGGACUGCAACUGACACUGAGGCUCGAAAGUGUGGGUAUCAAACAGGAUUAGAUACCCUUGUAGUC
rnacentral:rRNA from 1 species